GUUGAGGUGCGGGACUAUUGGGGCCCCAUUGGACCUGGGAGCAACACCGUGACCUCAAAAAAAGAUCUCGUGACUGGAAGAUGCAAGAGGUGGCAAGGACGUGAAGCAGAUGCACUUACGGCUGCGUAUACCCUGUGUAAACAACAUCGCUGCUCUCGCGUCCUUCAUCCUUCGCCAAGUGCGAUCAAGUUCAGCCAUUCCAGGUGGUCAUCUGUCCUGAAGGCGAACCGACUCAUUCUGCAGAUCGCAGGUGCCUCCGGCCGUCCAUCCAAACUAAAUUCAGCCGAACCGUGGAGCAUCCCCGCGCACGCACCGACUUUGAGGAAGGUGUUGAGCUGCAGGGGCC